AUGUCUUCAUUAGAAAAUGUCCUUUAUAUUCAAGCUGGACUUGGAGUCCUAGCCAAUAUGUUUCUCGUUUUUUUCUAUACUUCCAUAAUACUAGGUUACAGACCUAAACUCAUAGACCUGAUCACCUGUCAACUGACUUUCAUUCACAUAGCGAUGAUCCUCAGUGAAGGAGAUAGCUUGCUAGCAAACAUAUUAGAGUCACUAAAAUUUGAGAAUGACAUCAAAUGUAAGACAACUUUUCACAUAAACAGAAUGAUGAGAGGCCUCUCUAUCUGCAUCACCUGCCUCCUGAGUGUGUUCCAGGCUGUCACAAUCAGUCCCAGUACCUCCUUGUGGGCAAAAUUUAAGAAUAAAGUAAAAACACACAUCAUUUAUGCUUUUUUCUAUUUUUUGUCUUUUAAUUUGUCAUUCAGUAGUAGGUUUAUCUUCUAUGUUGCUGGUUUUAUCAAUGUGAGUGAGACCUACCAGAUGAAGGUCACUAAAUCUUGCUCACUAUUCUGCAUGAACUACAUCAUCAGGGAAUUGAUUUUAACAGUGAUGAUCUCCAGAGAUGUGUUUCUUGUAGGAGUCAUGUUGACCACAAGCACAUACAUGGUGAUUACUUGUGAAAACAUGAGAGGCAAUGCAAGCAUCUUCAUAGUAUCCACAACCUAAGAGCAUCACCUGGGAAAAGGGCCACCCUGGCAAUCUUGCUGCUGGUGGUUUUCUUUGUGGUUAUGUACUGGUUGAAUUUGAUCAUCUCCAUCACCUCAAUCCUGUCAUGGAUUUAUGACUCAGAUGUUCUGACUGUUCAGAAAUUUGGGAUGUAUGCCUAUCCCACAAUUACUCCUUUAGAACAAAUCAGUUCUGAUAAGAGAGUAAUCAGUAUACUGAAAAACUUCCACUCCAAGUGCCACUAAA
rnacentral:lncRNA from 1 species